rnacentral:tRNA from 1 species
GCCUGACUGGCUUAGUCAGUGGAUCAUGAGACUUUUGAUCUCAGGGUUGUGAGUUCUAGCCCCACAUUAGGUG